GCGGAAGGCCAGCCUGCAGAGAGGCUGGGCCCAGCGCCCUGACUGACCCAGCCCCGCCACGUCCAAGGUUCCCGCCCUCUGGAGGAAGCCGCGCAAUCACUCCGGGGGCGGGGAGAGACAGACAACUGAGAGGAAGGAGGUACCACGGGCACUCUCUCGCGAGAGGGCCGCAGAGCCGCCUUUGACGGGGGCGUGUACCUGGAGAGCAACGUGACAUCUGUUUGAGCAGAUGAAUAUGCCAUUGGGAAAGUCAAGGACUGUCGGAGAGGAGGACAUGGCAGACCUUAACUAAAGUGGAUGGAAAGCCGAUUUCCAGUCUUUAUGAUAACGCCGAUGUUCCACUUGGGAAAGAUACUGUACAACAAUGAAAGUAGCCCUUUCUUUUGUCUUUCAAAGAAUGUAUUUUUAACAAACAGCCUCUGUGUGAUCCUUUUGACCACACAAUUUGUAGAGUUAACGCUGAAAUUUUCAUUAGCAACAAUGAAAGCACACACAGGCACAAUAUUAAUAUAGAUUAAUAUCAGCCUAUUUUGGUCAGAAAGGCUCAUUUAAAUGUUUAAGAGACAGAAGUCCCAAAUUGUAGUAAUUUCUUCCACUAGCAGGAGGAAGCUCAGAAUUAGUUUUUCUACAACACUAGAGGAAUACUACUCAAAAAUAAAAAGGAAUUAACCAUUGAUACAUGCAACAACACAGAUGAAUCUCAAAGUAAUUGUGCUGAAAGAAACCAGACCCAGAAAAAGAUAAAUUCUAUAUGAUCUCAUUUAUAUAAGACUCUAGGAAAUGCAAACUAAUCUACACAUACAGAAAACUGAGGGCAGGUACUGAGAAGGGUAGGAGGGGGGCGUUACAGAGAGGCAUGAGGAAACUUUUUGGGGUGAUAGAUAUGUUUACUACUUUGAUUGUAAGGAUGAGGUCGCAACUCUGUGCGUGUCAGUGGUAUAUUUUAAUAUGAACGGCUUAUUUUAUGUAAAUUCUACCCCUAUAAAGCUGUUUUUUUUAAAAAAAAAAACUUCUCUUUGAGAGACAUCACCUUUGUCUUUUAAACCAUCUAAUGUUGAAUCUAAAAGUUCAGUGUAAAGUUUAAUAAAAUCAGAGUGUGUAUGUGUCUUAAUUUCCAGGACAUAUAAUCAUAGUGAUUAAGCCAAAAGUGCUUAUAUGAUUACCUAUAAACUAUCAUAGUUAAAUGACUAAAUACCCUGCAUAAGGUAAAAUGAUUAUUUUAUUCCUAUAGAUUGAAAUUGCCCAACUUUUUAUUAGAGAAUAAUAGAUUAGAGGGCAUGUUGGCUCAUACCUGUAAGCCCAAUGCUUUGGGAGGCUGAAGCGGGAGGAUCCCUUGAGGCCAGGAGUUGAAGAUCAGCUUGGGCAACAUAGCAAGACCACAUCUCUACAAAAAAAUUUAAAAUAAAAUGUUUAUCCAAGCAUAGUGGCACUCACUCACCUGUAGUACUAGCUGCUGAGGAAGCUGAGGCCUGGAGUUCAAACUGCACAACGCUGCACUUCAACCUAUGUGACAAAGUGAGAUCCUAUCUCUAAAAUAAUUAAUUCAGUUUUUAUAAUUAGGGAACAUUUAAAUUCAGAUUAUAAGUAAAAAAUGGAAUAAACAGUCCUGUUACCUGAUAUGGUUUGGAUCUCCAUCCCUACCCAAAUCUUAUGUUGAAAUGUAAUCCCCAAUGCUGGAGGUGGGGCCUGGUGGGAGAUGAUUGGAUCAUGGUGGUGGUUUCUCAUGGUUUAACACCAUCGUCCCCUGGUGCUGUCGCCGUGAUGAUGAAUUCUCACGAGAUCUGGUUGGUUUAAAAGUGUGUGGCACCUCCCCCUUCUCUCUUGCUCCUGCUCCUACCAUGUGAGAUGCCUUGGUCCCCCUUUGCCUUCCGCCAUGAUUCAGAGUUCUCUGAGGCCUCCCCAGAAGCAGAUGCUGCCAUGCUUUCUGUACAGCCUGCAGAACCGUAAGCCAAUUAAACCUCUUUUCUUAUACAUUACCCAGUGUCAGAUAUUUCUUUAUAGCAGUGUGAGAAUGGAUUAAUACACUACGUCAUGCAAAAUGUAAAAACAGGCAACUCACUGAGAGUAAACCUAAUCAACUUGUUCAUUUAGAUAUAAACUGUAGAGACGACACUGCCAUCUAGUUGUUGAAUACUGAGUAUACUGUUGAAACAUUCUUGACAAUGUUCUAUUUCUCUUUUGUAGACUUACAAGGAACACACAGAAGCCCCUAACCAAUUACAUCUCCUUCCUAGGAGUGUGAAUGUGACUGCCAUAGUGCAGCCCAUGCUGCCCCUGGUAAUUAUAUGCCUCAACCCAAGCAGGUGAUUAUGUAUCCUGUGACUACCUCAUGCUCAAGGCUCUUCCAUAUUACACAAACACACACACUCAUACUCAAAAGCAAAACAAAAAUAAAACAAUCUGCUUGAUCCCUGCCCUAUAGAGAUUAGUCUAGUCAGGGAAACAUACAACUAAGCAUUCGAAUACAGUGUAGUGGGUGCUACGAGAGCAGAAGUACAGAAAAUAUGUAAGCUCCAACAAGCACCAGCAGGAGUUAAAGGUUUAGGGAAAAUUAGUGGGAAGUUUAUCUAAAAUGAAAGCAGUGGAUAAGAGGAGAUGAGAUUCUGCAGUGUCCUGUAAGCUAUUUUAUUCUAGAAGCAGUGGAAAGCUUUGAACUUUUUGAAAGACCUUAAGCAAGGAAAGGAAGUAAUUAGAUUUGUAUGUCAGAAAUAAUAUUCUGGUUUUAGUAUACAGAAUGGAUUAAAAGGAGGUAAGAUUAGAGGCAGGGAGAGCUUGUUAAUUUAAGCAAGAGUAAUUUAAGCAAGAGAUGAUGGUACUAAGCUAGGAUUAUAAACAUGGAAAUGGAGAGAAGUUGGAGGGUUUGAAAGAUGUUCUGCAGAUAUAAUAAAUAUGACUUGCUGAAAGCCAACUGUGGAGAAUUAGGAAGAUGGAAACACCAAAGAUGACUUCCAUGUUUCUGACUUCACAACUGAGUGCAUGGUGGUGUCCAAAAAGUGGAGGAGCAGGUUUUGAGAUAAUAAAAUUCAUUUUUACUCCUAUUGAGCUGGAGGCACUCACGGUGUAUCUAAGAACAAACAUCUAUUUGACAACUGAAUAUAUGGUGUGAUGCUCACUAUAGAGAUCUGGACGCUUCAGCACAUACAUUAUCGCUGACACACUGGGGUAGACAUAAGGCACGCUGAGUCUAUUUCAGGAAAUGUGCCUAGACUUAAAAUAGAUAUGCACAUAGAGUGGAAGGAAGAAGAGUAGAGAAAAUUGAGAAGGAAUAGUUAAGGAGGCUCCCUACCUUCUCACUCCACCUCAGGCCGGCAAGCAGAACUUACUGUUACCCCCUUGGGCUCCCACUGUUUUCCAUCUAUGCAUCUACCAAGGCAUCUGUUAUGUCAUUGAAUAUACUUAUCUUUCUCUCUCCUUCUACUAAAUUAUAAGGAUCUUAGGGCAAGGAUCAUGUCAUAUUCAUAUUUGGAUUCCCAGGACUUAACAACAGUGCUUGGCAGAUAGUUUUUCUUACGACUUUUAUUUAAUAACUAAUGAUAGAAAAAAUUCAUUGAGUACUUUCUGUGUUCUAGGCACUUUAUAUACAAGGUCUGUUAUACUUGGGAUAUAUUAAGACUCAGAAAAUUUAAAUGACUUGUCCAAGAAGCUUCCAGGAUUCAGACCUGGCUCUGUAUGAGUCCAUGCUUUUUUUUCUACUGUAUCAUACUGUCUACAACAGACUGGUGAAUGAAAUCUAUCUUUAACAAAAGAGGAAAAAAGGAAUUGCAUCUUAUAUAAGGCACAGAUACUGAUUCUUAUGCUAAACACAGUGAAGUCCUGUAGAGAAAAUCCUUGGGUUCUGUCUCCUGGGGUUACAUGCCAUGUAUGCCAGAAAGUAUAGCAAGUAAAUGGCUGCAUGUCCUAAACCAUAAGGAAGUUCAUACAGACUAAGCAAAAUGCAACUAGUUACCAUUUUGCACAGCAGCUCUUGGAAGGAUCCAGCAGUUACCACUACACCAUGGAUCUAAGACACCCUCACAAAGAUAGGCCAAACACGGCCUGCGACCUUCACCUUGUAAGUUUUGCUCAAAAUAACUUGGCCAAAAGCUGAGAAACUUUAGUACCAUCUAAACUUUUCAUUCCAAUUAUGCUUGGUCACUGCUCAGAAGGCAGCUCCCUCUCAUCCAUCAGCUUCCUCUCAAUUCUUGUCUCCAAACUGUGUACUGGAUAGCAUCCUGUCAACACACAAUGCCCUCCCUCCAACCUUUCAAGUAUGGGCUUUGGCAACCUAUUCCACUAUAAAUAAAUCCACCUAUACACUCAGCGCUUAUAAAACCUUUAAUUCCUUUGAAGUUCAUUCCAUUCAAUUUUGUCACCCUUCACCUUGCUUUGUCCCUAAUACCUACAUCAUGUUAUUCCUUUAAACCCCAAAUUCAUUUAAUCAUUUCCUAGGAGAUUUCAACAUUCAUGUGGAAUGUCGGUUGAACAUCCAACCAUCACAGUUCCAACGCCAGUUCAACCUCAUUCCCUUGGUCACACUCCCCACUUUGUUAUGGAGCGGUUCUGGUGAUUUUCAUACCCUUAUGCUUCCAUUCAUAUUACCCACAGUGCACCUGAUCAUUAACCUCAUUGAGACCUCCAUUCCUAUAAUGCCACCUCUUCUUCCAGUUUAUUCUUGAUCCCGCUUCCUUCUGUAUCUGGCCUCAAUCUCUUAAAUUGGUCAUAUGACCUGCUCUAGUGCUUUUCUUUUUCUUUUUUUUCUUUUUUUUUGAGACAAGGUCUUGCUCUGUCGUCCAAGCUGGAGUGCAGUGGCCCGAUCUUGGCUCACUGCAACCUUCACUUCCGGGGUUCAAGCCAUCCUCCCAUCUCAGCCUCCUGAGUAGCUGGGACUACAGGAGCUCACCACCACACUUGGCAAAUUUUUGUGUUUUUUGUAGAGAUGGAGUGUUGUCCAGGCUGGUCUCAAACUCUUGAGCUCAAGCAAUCCUCUUGCCUCAGCCUUCCAAAGUGUUGGGAUUACAGGCAUAAGCCACCAAGGCUGGCCUCGUCAGUGCUUUCAAUUACCCUCCAUAUUUUUCCAUCCCUGGGUUAUCUCUUCCAACUCACAUUUCUAUAUCCUGCCUGGCACAAAUGCUCUCAAUUCUCUUCUAUCCUUAUCUUUCUCCUAUAUCCAUUAUCCAAAUCACAAUUCUGGAUCAGUCCUAUAAUCUACCUGGCCCUGUAAGCCAUUCAGAUGAGAUGCUAGAAACAAUCACAAAAUCACCAUACUUUCAUGAUUUCCAAAUUCAGUUCCAUGGUUAACCCUGUUCAUUACUGUUUUUGUGUUUCAUCAGCUCUAUUCCAAACCAUCUCUAUUCUCUUCAAGCCUCUAAACUAACCUUUUGCACCCUCCUACUUCAUAAGUAAUAUCACCUAUCACUUCCUACUUCACAAAAAAUUUGGAGAACAUCUAAUAUAAAUCUCUCCUUUCACAUCUACAAACUUAUAACGAUUCCCUUCCUUCUAGUUUUGAGAAAAGGUGUGAAGGUGUGUUUUCCUUUUUUUUUUUUUUUUUGAGAUGGAGUCUCAUUGUAGUGCAGUGGCACGAUCUCGGCUCACUCCAGCCUCCACCUUCCGGGCUCAAGCAAUUCUCCUGCUUCAGCCUCCCGAGUAGAUGGGAUUACAGGCGCCUGCCACCAUGCCCGGCUAAUUUGUGUGUGUGUGGUUUCGUUUGUUUUUUUGAGAUGGAGUUUUGCUCUUGUUGCCCAGGCUGGAGUGCAAUGGUGUGAUCUUGGCUCACUGCAACCUCCGCCUCCUGGGUUCAAGCAAUUCUGCCUCAGUCUCCCAAGUGACUGGGAUUUCAGGCAUGCACCACCACGCCCGGCUAAUUUUGUAUUUUUAGUAGAGAUGGGGUUUCUCCAUGUUGGUCAGGCUGGUCUCGAACUCCUGACCACAGGUGAUGGGCCCGCCUCGGUCUCCCAAAGUGCUGGGAUUACAGGCGUGAGCCACUGUGCCCAGCCCCUAAAUCACCUAAUUCUUUAAUCUGAGCCCCAGUCUCAUUUCUCAGAUUCUGUUUAUACUAGGCUACAUAAAGCUCCUGAAUACACUAUUGUUUCACAUACCUAAAUUCAACAUUCUCUGAAGCUCUUCCUAGCCUAUCCAAACAGAGAUGAGUGCUGACUCCCAGGAGUUUAGAUAUUGCUGUUGCAUUCACUUCUUGUCUGUCUCCUUUAGGAGCUUGUGAAAAAUGUGAGAGAAAGGACAAUGUCAUGUACCCCCAGUGUGAAGUAUAGCACCUGGAGAUAGCAGGCAUUCAAUAACUACUGGAUGGAUGGAGGCAUUAUGAAGUUUGCCAAGUUUGUUAACACUACUAAAGGUUUCAAUGAAUGUAAAAACAGUGGCAGAUGGGUGGUUUUCUUGACUGUGGGAAAGGUAAAAUAGUAUAAAGUACUAGCAAGUAUAAACACAGGCAUACCUCAUUUUAUUGCAUUUUGCUUUACUGUACUUUGCAGAUACUGCAUUUUUUACAAAUUAAAGGUUUAUGGCAACCCUCCAACAAACAAGUCUGUUAAUGCCACCCCAAAGUCAUGUGCUCAUUUUGUGUCUCUGUGUCACAUUUUGGUAAUUCCUGCAAUAUUUCAAACUUUGUAUUAUUAUUAUUUCUGUUACAGUGAUCUGUGGUCAGUGAUCUUUGAUGUUACUAUUUUGACCGUUUGUGGGCACCACAAACUGUGCCCAUAUAACAUCAGCGAACUUAAUAAAUGGUGUGUGUGUUCGGACUGCUCUACCAACCGGCCAUCCCCCUAUCUUUCUCCCUCUCCUCAAACCUCCUUAUUCCCUGAGACACAAUACUGAAAUCAGGCCAAUUAAUCACCCUGCAAUGGCCUCCCAGUGUUCAAGUUAAAAGAAGACUUGUACAUCUCUCAUUGUAAAUCAAAAGCUAGAAAUGGUUAAGCUUAAUGAAGAGGCAUGUCAAAAGCCAAGACAGGCUAAAAAAGCUAGGGUCUUGUGCCAAACCAUUAAUUCUUGAAGGAAAUUAGAAGUGUUACUCCAGUAAACACCUAAGAAAACCUUAUUGCUGAUACGGAGAAAAAGUUUUAGUGGUCUGGAUAGAAAAUCAAACCAGCCACAACAUUCCCUUAGGCCAAAGCCUAAUCCAGAGCAAGGUUCUAAAUUCAAUUCUAUGAAGACUGAGAGGUAAGGAAGCUACAGAAGUUUGAAGCUAGUAGAGGUUGGUUUAUGAGGUUUAAAGAAAGAAGUCAUCUCCAUAAAUAAAAGUGCAAGGUGAAGCAGAAAGUGCUGAUGUAGAAGCUGCAGGAGUUUAUCCAGAUCCAGCUAAGACCAUUGUUAAAGGUGGCUAUACUCAGUAACAGAUUUUCAAUGUAGAUGUAACAAGCCUUUUAUUGGAAGAAGCCACCUUAGACUUUCACCGCUACAGAGAAGUCAGUGCCUGGCUUCAAAUCUUCCAAGAACCGGCUGACUUGUUAAAAGCUAAUGCUGCUGGUGACUUUAUAUUGAAGCCAAUGCUCAUUUGCCAUUCUGAAAAUCCUAGGGCCCUUAACAAUUAUGCUAAAUCUACUCUGCCUGUACUCUAUAAAUGGGACAAAGCCUGGAAGACAGCACAUCUGUUUACAGCAUGAUUUACUGAAUAUUUUAAGCCCACCAUUGAGAUCUACUGCACAAAAAGAUUCCUUUCAAAAUAUUGCUGCUCAUUAACAAUCAUCUCGUAUCCCAAGAGCUCAGACGGAGAUGGACAACGAGAUUCAUGCUGUUUUCAAGCCUGCUAACACAAUGUCCACUCUAUAGCCCAUAGACCAUGGAGCAAUUUCAACUUUCAAGUCUUAUGAUUUAAGAAAUACAUGUUGUAAGGCUAUUGCUGCCAUAAAUAGUGAUUUCUCUGAUGGAUCUGUGCAAAGUAAAUUGAAAACUUUCUGGAAAGGAUUCACUAUUCUAGAUAUCAAUAAGAACAUUCAUGAUUCAUGGGAUGAGGGCAAAAUAUCAUUUACUGGAGUUUAGAAGUUGUUUCCUGUCCUCAGAGAUGACUUUUAAGGGUUCAAGACUUCAAUGGAGGAAGUAACUGCAGAUGUGGUAGAAAUUGCAAGAUAACUAGAAUUAGGCCAGGUGUGGUGGCUCAAGCCUAUAAUCCCAGCACUUUGGGAGGCUAAAGUGGGCAGAUCGCUUGAGGCCAGGAGUUUGAGACCAGCCUGGAGUGAAACCCUGUCUCUACAAAAAAUGCAAAAAAUUAGCCAGGCAUGGUGGCGUGUACCUGUAGUCCCAGCUACUCUAGAGGCUAAAGUGGGAGGAUCACUUGGGCCCAAGAGGUAGAGGCUGCAGUGAGCUGUGAUGGUGCCACUGCACUCCAGCCCGGGGGCAGAGCAAGACCCUAUCUCAAAAAGAAAAAAGGCCAGACGUGGUGGCUCAUGCCUGUAACUCCAGCACUUUGGGAGGCCAAGGCGGGAAGAUCAUUUGAGCUCAGAAGUUCAAGACCAACCUGGGCAACAUGGCAAAAUCCUGUCUCUACUAAAAAUACAAAAAUUAGCCAGGUGUAGUGGCACGCACCUGCAGUCUUAGUUCUUGGGAGGG
rnacentral:lncRNA from 10 species